rnacentral:lncRNA from 1 species
CCAUCUCAAACGGGCCGCCGUCCUGUCCGAUUGGGUCUAAUCACAAAGGUUUGGACAAAAAGCUCUCCUGUGCAUAUAACAAACACAUAAGCAUCCUCAUAUGUAUUCCUAACUAUCUCUUUGAUGUUGCAGCUCAAUGACGAAGUCUUCCAUGGCAAACGAAACCUUUUGUCAAAUCAAUACUACCAGUAGAGGAAAGGAAUUAACAAUCAAGGCAAGAGUAUCAAGACUAUGGGAUUCCAUAUUGAUCGGUAAUGAUGAAAUACUUAGUCUAGACAUGGUCCUUAUUGAUGAAGAGGUAUUAUGGUUCCCUCAUAGAAAUUACAUCCUUUCUUGAUUCUUUUUAUAAUUUAGCUUCAAUCUACAUGCUAAUUACAAAUACAAUUGAAGGGGACAAUGUUGCAUGGAGUUAUCAAUAAGGCAUAUAUCGAAAGGUUAAGGUCAUUAAGUCAAGAAGGCAAUGUGUACCUCAUUAAAAAUGUGAGAGUCAUUCCAGCAGCAGCAAAAUUUCGACCUGUACAAAAUGAGAUGAUGAUCAACUUCUCACCCACAACAAGUAUAGAGAAGAUUGAAGAUAAUGGAGACAUUCCAAAGCAUGGUUUCAACUUUUCAAGCAUGG